rnacentral:rRNA from 1 species
AACGCUAGCUACAGGCUUAACACAUGCAAGUCGAGGGGCAGCAUGGAGUCUGCUUGCAGACUCUGAUGGCGACCGGCGCACGGGUGUGUAACGCGUAUCCAACCUGCCCAUUACUCGGGCAUAGCCCAGUGAAAACUGGAUUAACUCCCGAUAUUGUUCUGAUGCGGCAUCUUAUCAGGACAAAAGUUUACGGUAAUGGAUGGGGAUGCGUCUGAUUAGGUAGAUGGCGGGGUAACGGCCCACCAUGCCUACGAUGUCUAGGGGUUCUGAGAGGAAGGUCCCCCACACUGGAACCGAGACACGGUCCAGACUCCUACGGGAGGCAGCAGUGAGGAAUAUUGGUCAAUGGGCGCAAGCCUGAACCAGCCAAGUAGCGUGAAGGAUGACUGCCCUAUGGGUUGUAAACUUCUUUUAUACGGGAACAACCGUUGGUACGUGUACCAAUCUGCGUGUACCGUAUGAAUAAGCAUCGGCUAACUCCGUGCCAGCAGCCGCGGUAAUACGGAGGAUGCGAGCGUUAUCCGGAUUUAUUGGGUUUAAAGGGAGCGUAGGUGGCCUGUUAAGCCAGCUGUGAAAUACUGUAGCUCAACUACAGCCGUGCAGUUGGAACUGUCGGGCUUGAGUGCACAAGAGGAAGGUGGAAUUCGUGGUGUAGCGGUGAAAUGUUUAGAUAUCACGAAGAACUCCGAUUG